CUUCUGGUUGAUGAGGUUGUUACACCUCAUUGAUUGGAAGGAAUUCCUUCCAAUCGAUGAGGUGUAACAGCCUCAUCAACUGGAAG
rnacentral:miRNA from 1 species